rnacentral:rRNA from 2 species
UAAUACGGAGGGUGCAAGCGUUAAUCGGAAUUACUGGGCGUAAAGCGCACGUAGGUGGUUUGUUAAGCUAGCUGUGAAAUCCCCGGGCUCAACCUGGGCACUGCAGUUAGAACUGGCAAGCUAGAGUAGGGUAGAGGGGUGUGGAAUUCCAGGUGUAGCGGUGAAAUGCGUAGAUAUCUGGAGGAACAUCAGUGGCGAAGGCGACACCCUGGACUCAUACUGACACUGAGGUGCGAAAGCGUGGGGAGCAAACAGG